CUUUUUCUCCCCAAUGCAGGACUCUAAUCUUCCCCCACCUUUCUCUGAUCUACCUUGUCUGACUGUCGGUUGUAAGUUCCCCAUUUCUGAAGGGGCCCUGCAUCAUCCCAGGAGGAAGGAAUGCUGUACAGAGAGACCAAGAAGAAUCUGAAGGGACAGGACUUGCUGGGUUCCCCACUCAGUCUACUGGCUAUAGAUGAAAAUGUAGGAGCAGCAGCAAGAGAUGGAAGAAGGAGACCAACUGAGCCACAUUCAUGGACUCUGUGCUAGAGGGCCUGAUUCUUCCACCCCAGGGCCACACAUGCGGGGACAGCAAAGGAUAAUAAAUCCCACGGAUCGUCCUUCAGACUCUUCCCAUUGGCGAUGCCAUUAGAAGACUGGCUCAACCUGGAGGCAGCUGCGUGCUGUUCCUGACAUUACCAGACCUGCCCACUCUCCCCUGGAUCCCAACAUCACCGUCUACCUGGGUCCUCAUUCUUGUAACCCAACGAUGGCCUCCUAAAUUAGCAAAGUGCUUUGGCUCCUUUUCUAUAACAAAGGCUCUUUUUGAACCUCAUCAGUGAAACUAUGACAAAUAUUUUAUAAACGGCUCUCUGAAAGCACAGCUCGACACGUGCGCACUUACACGCACACACAAUGGCGUGUUUAGAUGCUCACGUGCGCUCUCUGCACAGGGCUGCAGCAUUUUCUCCCCUUCAAGUUUGCUCCCAAACGGAUUUAUUUUUUAAUUUUUAUUUUGUUGUACUGUAUGUAUCAACUGCACAAGGCAAUCAGCCAAAGAGAGAUUUAAACAUAUGGACUAAAUUUCAUGUCUUUGGAAAACAUGGUAGAGCAAGACAGCAAUAAGCUCUUCCACUCUGCUCUCUGGGGCUGCCACUUGGCUGAGGAGGGGACAUGUUACACCUGGGCCAAAUCAUCCUGGGUCUCCCACUCAAAGCGCCACUCUCAUGUCUGCAGCGGCCUGUGCAAAUAUGCAAAGCCCCCUUUGAAAGCUCUGUGGUGCUGCUUAGCGGUGUUCUUUGCACCUUGAACAAUGCUCACUCACAUGCAAGACCUGCCCAUGGACAUACCAGGAUUAGCAAAGCAAUCCACGGUCCUGAAUUUCUGUGGGUGCCUGCAUUUGCUAUGCUACAAGGGGAAGAGAUUGUCAUUUACAGUGAAAAAUAAAGGUGGUGUUAA
rnacentral:lncRNA from 10 species